UUAAGAUAGAAAGACCGACUAAUUUUAUGUAAAGAAUAUUCUAUGUUGAGUGGACUUUUUUCACAGCUCUUCUUAAGGAUGUACUUAGGUGAUCUAUGUAAAAUUAGAUAAAUUAAGAAUUCAAAAUUGACAAUUGAAGCUGGGAGAGUAUUAGUUAAAGUAUAAGCUAAAAUAUUAAAAAGUCAUGGAGCUCCAUUUCGAGAUAUUUGAUUUAUAGAAUAUGGCGGGAAAAGGCUGCCUCGGACUUGCAUAUUAGGUAUUAUUUGGGUCUCAAAUCAAAAGAAAGAAAAUAAAAAAUCUGCUCAAAUUUUGACAAAUGACCUUUUAUGAGCUAUCAAGUCUUAUGUUAAAAGAUAAAUAGGUGUUAUGGGGCAAUAUAAAUUACCUUGUAUUGUAUGGAAAAACACCGAAGAGUCCGAACAUUUGAAACUUAUUCAAAAAUCUCACCUAAGUACACUCUUAACAUCAUUUAAAGAUAAAUUGGGAUAUUUAUUCCCGUUUAAUCCGGGUAAAGUUAACACCGAAUCCAUCCCAUUUUAUAUUUUCUUCGUUUUGAGUCAAUUUUGUUGUAAUAUGUAUAACAUCACAGGUGUCAUUCGGUUUAACGAGAGCAAUGAUCGUGAAAGAAUAUCUUACGGGGUCAAGUAUUGCGAGACGAUCGUGAAAGCUCUGGUAACGGAUCGUGAAAGAAAUUUAAUCGAGAAGACAUAUAAAAGGUCAUUAAAUAAUGUAAUUUAUUUAAUUACACAAACAAAUUUACAACAAAAUAAAAUUGUCUGUGAAAAUAGUUCAACAUUAUGAUUAGUAUGUGAGAAUAUCCAGUUUUAAAAGUAUAUAGUUUUUACAAAACAACAAUAGGCAGAGUGCAUCUCGACAUUUCAAUGCCAUAAAAAAUGUAAACAAACAUGAUUUUUUUCACAAAUUCGGAUAAAAUAAAUUACUUUUAUCCGAAUAAGAGCAUUCUAUUUGAAUGAAUCAAAAUUUUGUAUAGACAUAAUCUGAAAUUUGAUAAAGAAAGAAAUAUCUACACAAAAUUGAUUUUUCUGAUCGUGAAAGAUCACGUACCGCUUUUUUGAAGAUCGUGAAAAGGAUCGUGAAAGAUCAGAUGCUACGAAGACUUUCAAAUUAUCUUAAAUUAUAUGAUAAUUAAUAUUUGUUAUAGGUAUUGAGAAAAACUAGAUAGGCAAAGAUCCUCAAUAAAUUGAAGCAUGUUAUGUAUAUUGCUAUUAUCCUGUAAGUUACGACCGGCACUUGAAACUUUUGUUCAAACGUAGACCUCGAAGAGGAGCCAAAAAUGAACUGAUACUCAUAAAGACAAUCCAUAUUAUCGCUUGCUCAAGAUAUAAACGGGGUAACAGGAGAUUUUAUUUGUACAAGUACGAUCGUCUCGCAAUACUUGACCCCCGUUAGAUAUCCUUUCACGAUCAUUUCUCUCGUUAAACCGAUGACACCUGUGACCAUGGGCCAAUUGUAUGAAUCUUCUAUUGUUAUUUGUGUCAAUUGUUAAUCAAAUGUAUUUAUAGUUUACAAUACACUCAUCAUAGAUACCAGGA
rnacentral:lncRNA from 1 species